rnacentral:rRNA from 1 species
CGUAGGGUGAACCUGCGGAGGGAUCAUUACCGAGUUUACAACUCCCAAACCCCUGUGAACAUACCAAUUGUUGCCUCGGCGGAUCAGCCCGCUCCCGGUAAAACGGGACGGCCCGCCAGAGGACCCUUAAACUCUGUUUCUAUAUGUAACUUCUGAGUAAAACCAUAAAUAAAUCAAAACUUUCAACAACGGAUCUCUUGGUUCUGGCAUCGAUGAAGAACGCAGCAAAAUGCGAUAAGUAAUGUGAAUUGCAGAAUUCAGUGAAUCAUCGAAUCUUUGAACGCACAUUGCGCCCGCCAGUAUUCUGGCGGGCAUGCCUGUUCGAGCGUCAUUUCAACCCUCAAGCCCAGCUUGGUGUUGGGACUCGCGAGUUAAACCGCGUUCCCCAAAUUGAUUGGCGGUCACGUCGAGCUUCCAUAGCGUAGUAGUAAAACCCUCGUUACUGGUAAUCGUCGCGGCCACGCCGUUAAACCCCAACUUCUGAAUGUUGACCUCGGAUCAGGUAGGAAUACCCGCUGAACUUAAGCAUAUCAAUAA